rnacentral:rRNA from 1 species
UACAGAGGGUGCAAGCGUUAAUCGGAGUUACUGGGCGUAAAGGGCGCGUAGGCGGUCAUGCAAGUGAGAUGUGAAAUCCCCGGGCUUAACCUGGGAACUGCAUUUAGACUGUGUGACUGGAGUACUGUAGAGGACAGUGGAAUUCCUGGUGUAGCGGUGAAAUGCGCAGAUAUCAGGAAGAACACCCGUGGCUAAGGCGGCUCUCUAGUACGUGACUGGACGCUGAGACGCGAAAGCGUGGGAGCGAACAGG